rnacentral:rRNA from 1 species
GAUGAACGCUGGCGGCGUGCCUAAUACAUGCAAGUCGAGCGAACGGACGAGAAGCUUGCUUCUCUGAUGUUAGCGGCGGACGGGUGAGUAACACGUGGAUAACCUACCUAUAAGACUGGGAUAACUUCGGGAAACCGGAGCUAAUACCGGAUAUAUUUUGAACCGCAUGGUUCAAAAGUAAAAGACGGUCUUGCUGUCACUUAUAGAUGGAUCCGCGCUUCAUUAGCUAGUUGGUAAGGUAACGGCUUACCAAGGCAACGAUGCAUAGCCGACCUGAGAGGGUGAUCGGCCACACUGGAACUGAGACACGGUCCAGACUCCUACGGGAGGCAGCAGUAGGGAAUCUUCCGCAAUGGGCGAAAGCCUGACGGAGCAACGCCGCGUGAGUGAUGAAGGUCUUCGGAUCGUAAAACUCUGUUAUUAGGGAAGAACAUAUGUGUAAGUAACUGUGCACAUCUUGACGGUACCUAAUCAGAAAGCCACGGCUAACUACGUG